CAUGGCGGGCAGGUGGGGGGAGGAGUCCGCGGCGUCCCCGCUGCACCCUGGCGACUCUGCCCGUCGCUGGCCAUCGGAGGCCCCGGCCCCGCCGCCCAGGGGCGCAGGGACCGAGCCGGUGGCACCCCCUCGUCGGGUCACCCUGGGUCUCGGGGGCAAAAGGCAGAGGCUGCGCCCACUGAGUCCUGCCUCGCGAGGGGACUUCACACCGCACGUCUUGUAAUUGCGCGCUGGUCCCUCACUGCUCUAGAUUCUACCACCAAAAAGGAAAUAUGGAGGACAAGAGAAUUUAUGAAAGUACACCCAGGUCUUGGAGCCACACAGCAGUAGAGGGAUCAGCAAAGACUCUGCAUAUAAAGGAGAGGAGAGCAAGGAGGACAUACUCAGGAGGGAACCCAGUUGCUCCUGAUGCUGGUGUGUGGAGGAUGAACAUUGAGACGAGCAAGAGUUAAGGUCUCUCCAAACUGUGUGUCCAUCAAAGCAUUGGUCUCCUUAUCAAUGAAUCACCCUUGGAGGCUGAUAACUGGGAUUUCUU